rnacentral:rRNA from 1 species
UACGGGGGGGGUAAGCGUUGUUCGGAAUUACUGGGCGUAAAGGGCUCGUAGGCGGCCAACUAAGUCAUACGUGAAAUCCCUCAGCUUAACCGGGGAACUGCGUCUGAUACUGGAUGGCUUGAGUUUGGGAGAGGGACGCGGAAUUCCAGGUGUAGCGGUGAAAUGCGUAGAUAUCUGGAGGAACACCGGUGGCGAAGGCGGCGUCCUGGACCAACACUGACACUGAGGAGCGAAAGCCAGGGGAGCAAACGGG